AGCAGCCGCGGUAAUUCCAGCUCUAAUAGCGUAUAUUAAAGUUGUUGCAGUUAAAAAGCUCGUAGUUGAAUUUCGGGAUCAGACUGUCGGUCGUGCCUCGGUACGCACUGGCAUUAUUGGUUCCUACCUUCUGAAGAACCGCGAUGUCAUUAAUUUGGUGUCGCGGGGAAUCAGGACUGUUACUUUGAAAAAAUUAGAGUGUUUAAAGCAGGCUUACGCUUGAAUACAUUAGCAUGGAAUAAUGAAAUAGGACGUUUGAUUCUAUUUUGUUGGUUUCUAGGAUCGACGUAAUGAUUAAUAGGGAUAGUUGGGGGCAUUAGUAUUCAAUUGUCAGAGGUGAAAUUCUUGGAUUUAUUGAAGACUAACUACUGCGAAAGCAUUUGCCAAGGAUGUUUUCAUUAAUCAAGAACGAAAGUUAGGGGAUCGAAGACGAUCAGAUACCGUCGUAGUCUUAACCAUAAACUAUGCCGACUAGGGAUCGGAUGAUGUUAAUUUUAUAAUGACUCA
rnacentral:rRNA from 1 species